ensembl:lncRNA
GGGGGGGGACUGGAGAAGGAGAGGGGGAGGGCGAGAGGCAGUACAAAGAGAAUGGUACAGUAGAGACAUUCCUUACCAAGUCAGCUUUAAUAGCAUAGAGAGGACCACACACACACACACACACACACACAACGUAUCUGGAUGGAUAGAAGCAGCCUUCUGUACGGCCUAAUCAGGAAGCCCCAGUAGAACCUCAUCCAGGGGCUCGCCUGAGAAAUCCUCCCCAACGUUAGAGGCUUAGAGGGGGGAGAUUCAUUCCCCGUGGUCCCACACCACCCUUCAAGUUUCCAGUUUGAAUGUCAUGUGCACAAGUCCAGUGGAAUGCCCUUUCUUCCCAGCUCUAACCCCGACAACGCAGUAAUCAAUAUCACAUCCAUACAAAAAUAACAAGGUAGAACAAAAACACCCAAGAAAUAAGAAUAAUCUAUAUACAGGGUCAGUUCAGUACCAUAUUAACAAUGUGCAGGGAUACUGGAGUGAUGGAGGUAGAUAUGUAUAGUGAUGGAGGUAGAUAUGUAUAGGGGGAAGGGGCCAGGGAUACUGGAGUGAUGGAGGUAGAUAUGUAUAGUGAUGGAGGUAGAUAUGUAUAGGGGGAAGGAGACAGGGAUACUGGAGUGAUGGAGGUAGAUAUGGAUGUCUAUUUAAAACAGAUUGUUAUAUACAAGCAUUUCACUACACCCACAAUAACAUCUACUAAACACUUGUCUGUGACCAAUGAAAUUGUAUUUGAUUUAUUUAUAGGGGUAAGGGGACUAGGCAUCAGGAUAUAUGAUAAACCUAUUCCCCCUCAGGAAACUAAAAAGAUUUGGCAUGGGUCCUGAGAUCCUCAAAAGGUUCUACAGCUGCACCAUCGAGAGCAUCCUGGUUGCAUCACUGCCUCGUAUGGCAACUGCUCAGCCUCUGACCGCAAGGCAUUACAGAGGGUAGUGCGUACGGCCCAGUACAUCACCAGGGUCAAAACUCCUGCCAUCCACGACCUCUAUACCAGGCGGUGUCAGAGGAAGGCCCUAAAAAUUGUCAAAGACCCCAGGUACCCCAGUCAUAGACUGUUCUCUCUACUACCGCAUGGCAAGCGGUAUCGGUGCGCCAAGUCUAGGACAAAAAAGCUUCUCAACCAUUUUUAACCCCAAGACUCCUGAACAGGUAAUCAAAUGGACUAUUUGCAUUGUGUGUUAACAAAAAAAGGCUGUGAAAAAAAUGGCAUUGUUGUUUAUCUACUUGAUCGUACACAACAUUUAAUUAAAAUUGUUUCAAAGAAACAAAAACGCCAUGAAGAAAUCGGUAUUUUAUUCAAAAGCAUGUCACAAUUAUUGAAACCCCUGAAUU